GCGCCCGUAGCUCAACUGGAUAGAGCACCCGCCUUCUAAGCGGGAUGUUUCGGGUUCGAGUCCCGACGGGCGUA
rnacentral:tRNA from 1 species